AUUAAUAAUAUAAAAAAAUUUUCGUUUACGUCACAAUAUAGAGCCCAUUGUAUCCUGCAAUAUACAUAUAAACAAUUUUUUCGUAUCAUCAAUAGUUAUUGAAAUAUGCGUCUGUCACACUUUAGCAUGGACACCCUGUAUGUCGAAUUGAGUAACCUCCUUCAUUUCGAAGUCGAUUAAAAAGGCAUAUAUGCCAUAGUUUGGAAGGAAAGAUGGAAUUCUCAAGUUCGUAUAAACCGAGUCCUGUUUAAAAGAACCAAAAUCAAGAAUAGAGUUCUUCAACCAACAUGUGAUUACAACAUCGAUAUGAUGAUGGAACACAUUUCAACGGUCUGUCAAAAGUACAAUAGAUGAUAAAGCCUUUACCGGAUAAAUAGCAACCUCAGAGAGAUAACCAACAGUGUCAAAUCAUGUUCUAACAUACUACAGUUGUUGAAACACGUUAAAAUUAUUAACAUUAUAUAAUCUAUCGAAAUGUGUCUUUCUACAUCCGUGUGCAGUUUGACACUAAGUUAAGCCCAAGUAUUUUUACUAUUGUGGUUGUUAAUGACCAUUAUGAGUUGAUGCAACCAAAAAUAUUCAAUUUAAGAAAAAAGAACUACAUAUCAACUAUCGUCAGUAAGUACGGAGAAAUUAAAACUUUGUAGUACAAUAACGACUCUAAAUACUCGUCAAGUACUACGAAUACACGGCAUCAAAAUAAAUGAUUUAAUGUCGUGAUUUGACCGUUACAAUCAACAGACCUAAGCCUUAUUGAAAAUAUUUCGGCCCAAUUAACUCUUCGUUGCACAAAAAAUGAAUUUUAACACUUUGGAAAUUCCGCAUUCAUUUAAAAAUGAAUAUGAUAUACAAUACAUGUAAUAUAAUUAUUAAAUAACUACUACUAAAUAACUUACUAGUUUAUGUAUUAAAGUAUGCAGUCAAAUAUAUAUAAGAAAUAAAAUUUUGUUUAUGUACGGAACAAAGCCUACUCAUAAACUGUGUGUAUGUCCCAAAAAUUCUUACUUGUCAAAGGGUUAAAGAAAGUAAUUGUCAAAUUUAAUGAAACUGAUUCUAAUGUUUUGUUAUUAUGGUGUAAUUCAAUGAAAGUGUGAAACAAGAUUAGUUCUGAACAAUGUAGAAAACUUGUAGAAAGUAUACUAAAGAAAAUAUAUAUAGAAAGUUAUUGUAGAUAUACAAACCAUUAGAAGAAUUUCAUGUUAAAGUCACGUUUUUCUAUUAAAUCCAGCUUUCCACUUAUUGAUUUAUCAUUUUUCUAAUCAAUGUUUUCUUUGAUACAUUUUGCAUUUUUGUCAUUAAUGUAAAAAAUCAAAUUAUACAUUGAACAUCUUUUCAAAAAUGUAUAAAUAACGAUUACACAUCGCGCGAUUAAAUAAUACAAUAAAAAGAAA